UCAUUUAAUUUACGUAAAAUAUAUGAAAUGAAAUAUUUGAAAAUUCAAGUCUAACGAGCUACAUUUAAUAAAACUCAAUGAAAACCUCAUGGAUCUGUGCUUUUUCAUGCUUGAAUGAAUAGUAAUAAAGCUGCGCCCGCCUACAAUUUUCUGAACAAACAGAAUUAUUCGAACCUGCUACAUAUUCAGAACUAAAGGCUACGGGCCUCAUACUGUCUAACCGAUUUGUGAUGAUGGGAGCGCCUCUACAAUGGCGAGAUUCUUACUGUUAAAACCGUUUUUGAUGACUUAAAAGCCUCUGGAGUUAGGGCUUCCGAUGAUACCAAUUGUGAUGAUGUCACCUUUAAGGUGACGGGCCUCUACAGUUUAUCUUAACUGUAUUGACUUAAGCGCUCAAAAAUAAUGAGCCUCAGGCUGUUCAUUACCGAUUGAUCUGAAAAGCUAUGGAGUUAACAGCCUCAGAUUAAACACGCCAAAAACUAUUAUUUAGAGGCAUUUAGGAUCAGGAAUCCCAGAAUGUCCAUUACCGAUUAUGAUGAUAAAAGAACCUCUAGGCUUAGAAACCUUAGAUUUUCUAUUCCCGAUUAUGAACUGCCUAUUACCGAUUUGUGAUGAUUUGAAGACCUUUAGAGUCAAAGGCCCUGACUGUCCAUUAUCUACAUAUUAUGAUGAUUAAGAGGCUUCUUGAUUCAGAAACUCAAACUGCCUAUUACCGAUUUGUGAUAAUCGGUAAUACCCCAGAGAUCUUUUGCUCUAGGAUCGAGAACCUGAGACACUAUCAAAUGUUAUAUAAAGGUCUCUAGGCUUCAUUUCAUUCAAAAAUGGAAUAAAGAAAACAUCCAGAAUGUAUAUUUUGUGUGUCAACAUGAUGUCGUGUUUUGCUUCCAUAUUCAUAUCAAGACUGGUAUUCAAGACUGGUAUUGAUUAGAAACUUAACCACCAACAUAACUCGUCAGAUUUUGCAUGGACUGCAUAGAAUCUUAAUAAAAAUGUUAUUUCUCCUUUAAAGACCUGGCUGUAUUCUAAUUACUUGAAUCUUAAAUCCUAAACCAGUACUUGUUUCAUUGGGGAAAUGGCAUGGGAAAAUGUGUAUAUUUGGCUAUGUUUAUGAGUUAUGUAUGGAAACGUAAGAUGCCGCGUAUGAAUGACGAAAACGAUUGCUUUCACUGACUUCAUUAAUUGAUUAAUCGAUUGAUCAUGUUAUGAUAUGCAGAAUUGCAGCAUUGCAGCAUCCAAAAUUACCUACAUGGAUGCAUUAAUGGACAGGCAUCAUUUGAUAAGCUACUGAAACGGGAUUUAUAUUAACUCGCAAGAGACUCGCAUAAUUAUUAUUU